rnacentral:pre_miRNA from 1 species
UUUACAAUUCGGUCGUUCACCAGGUCAUCUAGCUAACAUUUAAUCUAAGCUAGCUGCCUAGUGAAGGGCAACAUUGUACU